rnacentral:lncRNA from 12 species
GUGCAAGAAAAGAAGAUUGCAAAAAGUACUUCAAGGCAGCAGCUGACACAGAUAUCCAAAGAGCUGUUACGGAGCUGUAGAAUCUGAGAGAGUCGAUCAACUGCCCUGGGAAACC